GCUUGAGGAGGGAGGACUGGUGACCUUGCAGGAGGAAGAAGGAGGCCAGCACCUUGGCCAGAGCAGUGCUGGGCAGGAUCAGGGGAGUGAGAGCCAUCUCCUGGCUGGCUGCUAAGACUGGCAUAGAGAGGCCUGGAGAUAAGAGCAGAGAAGGUGCUAGGGCUGCGGGGAAGUGGCCCUGGAAAGUAGACUGAAAGGUUGGAGGGGACACAGAGCAUGGCUGCCAUCCACAGGGUGCCUGGGCUGGGAUCUGGAGUAGUGCGUGGGCCUGGGUCCCCUCCCCGCCUCCAAGGUCUUUAGAGCAACACAGGUCCAGAAGCACAAGUGAUGGCGGGCGAGACACCACCGAGAGCCAGCGUACCGACCUGUGGAGCUGACCCAUAAGAUGACCAGCAGGAGGCGCUAACAUGGAAGCUUCCAAACCUGUUCUGAUGGACCAGAAAUUCGACUCCCUGGCCCUGCAAGAUAUCUCACCACCAUGGUUAAAAACCCUGGAUGUGUGCCACAGAGAUGAGAGGCUCUGUUUCUAGAUA